AGAGUUUGAUCCUGGCUCAGAAUCAACGCUGGCGGCGUGCCUAACACAUGCAAGUCGAACGAGAAAGUGGAGCAAUCCAUGAGUAAAGUGGCGACCGGGUGAGUAACACGUGACUAACCUGCCCUAGAGUGGGGGAUAACCUCGGGAAACCGGGGCUAAUACCGCAUAACAUCGCGAGGGGAAGAUCCUUGCGAUCAAAGGAGCAAUUCGCUCAAGGAGGGGGUCGCGGCUGAUUAGCUAGUUGGUGAGGUAACGGCUCACCAAGGCGAAGAUCAGUAGCCGGCCUGAGAGGGCGCACGGCCACACUGGAACUGAAACACGGUCCAGACUCCUACGGGAGGCAGCAGUGGGGAAUUUUGCGCAAUGGGGGAAACCCUGACGCAGCAACGCCGCGUGGAGGAUGAAGUCCCUUGGGAUGUAAACUCCUUUCGAUCGGGACGAUAAUGACGGUACCGGAAGAAGAAGCACCGGCUAACUCUGUGCCAGCAGCCGCGGUAAUACAGAGGGUGCAAGCGUUGUUCGGAAUUAUUGGGCGUAAAGGGCGCGUAGGCGGUGCGGUAAGACUGUGGUGAAAUCUCCGGGCUCAACUCGG
rnacentral:rRNA from 1 species